CUCCCCUUUUCGGCAAAGGAAAUAUAUUUUCUUCUACAGUUUACUAACCGUACAUUAGGUGGCGGCAGACAGGUUAUAUUUGUGUAAAUGUCAGUAUACCAGAGAAGAAGAUGACGCUGAUGCGCUGUCGUAGUGGGGAACAGGAAGUUCCGGGUCGAAACGACAGAACUGUGCUGUUGUGUCGAUAGUGGUUGUGUCCGUUUCAAAUGUAUCAUUGUAGGUAUGUAAUAGCAUGUUUAAACUUUCUAAUGUCGAAAGAAUAUAUAACAUGCUAGGUAACAAAUCCGUUUCACGCCUGGUAAUGGUUUUAAUUGUAUGUGUUAUUUUGGAGUCUAACCGAGUGAGUGAAGAACGUGAUUAAAACGAUUUUACAAGUCACAUAGAUAGACUUUGGGUUUGUCUGAGUGUAUGUACAUAAUUUCGUCAAAGUCAUUUCAUAAAGAUUCCAUUUAUUUAAGUUCGUUUUUACAUGUUCUUGGUUUUGUGUAAAAUGUUUAUGAGCUGGUAAAUAGCCUUGUCCGAACCAUCCUGUUCUCGCGAGUUUACAUGCACUGUUUCGUUAAUGUAAACUCGCGAGAUCAGGAUUGUUCGGAGGAGGCAAGUCAAAUGGCGGCUUCAACGGUUUCGGUCGUCUUUCUAGGAGUUUGUUCGUGGUGAAAUGGCGACAUGAGGCUGUGUGAUAGUGUCAAAAUAGAGGGAAGCUAACUGAAGUUAUCCUUCACCAUUUGGAGAGAGAGGCCAACUGCAUGGAAUGGCGUCGAUUAAUGCGGAUGAAUCGGAGCACGUAUCAAACCCAUUCCAUGGAGGACCAAGUGUCUGCGUGUUUUCGCUCCACACCUGUAUUUGAUUAAUGAAUUAAGACCGACUCAGAUUAAGUCUGAGGCCGGUAACAUCAACAGUGAGGACAAACCCAGUCUGCUUCUCUCCUUCCACACUGAGUCCAAACCUACAGUCACUGGGUCCUGAUUGUGACAGUGGAGCCCAGUUUGCACUGCAGGAUCCAGAGAUGGCAUCAGUGAAGCUGGAAGACUGCAGUCCAACACUGGAGCUGAAUGUCAACAUUAAAGAUGAAGAAGAGGAGGAGAAGAUUAGGACAACUGUUAGUCACGGCCGGUGGUAGCUGGUCCCAUGCAGGAAGGUGAGGUUCCGGAGGUCCCUCCGCCCCUCUGGACAUCGAGGGGUCCCCAGCGUACACGAUACGAGCUAUUCUGGAUUCAAGACGCCGGGUGAGGGGCCUGCAGUACCUCGUUGACUGGGAGGGGUACGGUCCGGAGGAGAGGUGCUGGGUCCCGCGUGGGGGAUAUUCUGGAUCCAUCCAUGUUGAGAGAGUUCCAUCGCCUCCAUCCGGAUCGCACUGCGCCUCGGCCCCAGGGUCGUCCCCGAGGCCGGCGUCGGCGCGCUGAUUUGUUCUGUGUUCGUUUGGUUUUGUCUAAUUGGUUUCACCUGUUCAUUGUUUGGUUGUUAGGGUGGGGUUAUUUAAGUUUGUUUAGCCCGCUUCUGUUUGUGUGGGCUUGUUCUUCUGUAUUUGUGAGAGGUGUUAGUGUUUUGUUGGGUUUUCUCGCUGUCCUGGUAUUUUACCUAAGGGUACUAUUUUGUUUUUAUAGUUACGUCUGUGUUGGGUAUACUAUUUUGUUCCUUUGAUUUUGGACAUUAAAGCGUGUUUUUUCCCACAUCCUUUGCUCUCUGCGCCUGACUCCAAACCCAUUCACUAAUUGAG